GACGAACCGUGCGAACGUUGUUCGGAAUCACUGGGCGUAAAGCGCACGUAGGCGGAUCGUUAAGUCGGGGGUGAAAUCCUGGAGCUCAACUCCAGAACUGCCUUCGAUACUGGCGAUCUUGAGUCCGGAAGAGGUGAGUGGAACUCCUAGUGUAGAGGUGGAAUUCGUAGAUAUUAGGAAGAACACCAGUGGCGAAGGCGGCUCACUGGUCCGGUACUGACGCUGAGGUGCGAAAGCGUGGGGAGCAAACAGG
rnacentral:rRNA from 1 species